GACGAACGCUGGCGGCGUGCCUAACACAUGCAAGUCGAACGGAAAGGCCCUGCUCUUGUUGGGUGCUCGAUUGGCGAACGGGUGAGUAACACGUGUGUAACCUGCCCUUGACUUUGGGAUAACUUCAGGAAACUGGGGCUAAUACCGGAUAGGAUCUCCUGCUGCACGGUGGUGGUUGGAAAGUUUCGGCCGUUGGGGAUUUUCUCGCGGCUUAUCAGCUUGUUGGUGGGGUAGUGGCCUACCAAGGCUUUGACGGGUAGCCGGCCUGAGAGGGUGACCGGCCACAAUGGGACUGAGAUACGGCCCAGACGCCUACGGGAGGCAACAGGGGGGAAUAUUGCACAAUGGGCGGAAGCCUGAUGCAGAGACGCCGGGUGCGGGAAGCCGGCCUUCGGGGUGUAAACAGCUUUCGACUGUGACGAAGCGUGCGUGACGGUAAUGGGUAAAGAAGCACCGGCUAACUACGUG
rnacentral:rRNA from 1 species